CCUACGGGAGGCUGCAGUCGAGAAUCAUUCACAAUGGGGGAAACCCUGAUGGUGCGACGCCGCGUGGGGGAAUGAAGGUCUUCGGAUUGUAAACCCCUGUCAUGUGGGAGCAAAUUAAAAAGAUAGUACCACAAGAGGAAGAGACGGCUAACUCUGUGCCAGCAGCCGCGGUAAUACAGAGGUCUCAAGCGUUGUUCGGAAUCACUGGGCGUAAAGCGUGCGUAGGCUGUUUCGUAAGUCGUGUGUGAAAGGCGCGGGCUCAACCCGCGGACGGCACAUGAUACUGCGAGACUAGAGUAAGGGAGGGGGAACCGGAAUUCUCGGUGGAGCAGUGAAAUGCGUAGAUAUCGAGAGGAACACUCGUGGCGAAGGCGGGUUCCUGGACAUUAACUGACGCUGAGGCACGAAGGCCAGGGGAGCGAAAGGGAUUAGAUACCCGGGUAGUC
rnacentral:rRNA from 1 species